UACGUAGGGUGCAAGCGUUGUCCGGAAUUAUUGGGCGUAAAGAGCUCGUAGGCGGUCUGUCGCGUCGGAUGUGAAAACCCAGGGCUCAACCCUGGGCCUGCAUUCGAUACGGGCAGACUAGAGUUCGGUAGGGGAGACUGGAAUUCCUGGUGUAGCGGUGAAAUGCGCAGAUAUCAGGAGGAACACCGGUGGCGAAGGCGGGUCUCUGGGCCGAAACUGACGCUGAGGAGCGAAAACGUGGGGAGCAAACAGG
rnacentral:rRNA from 1 species